UGAAUAGAAAGAGAUGGUGAUCACAGUUUAUUCUCUGAUAAUUUGUUACAGUGUAAACCUAGUGUUUGAUUUUAUGGCUUUAUCCUCUAGUAUUCAUUUGAUUCCGUCCAAAAAAAAAUUAUUUUUUGAUUUUAUGAGUAUUUGUUAUUUAUUUUGCUCAUUUAUUUUGUAGUAUGUCUUUCAAAGCCAUUGUGAUAAAUGUAUUUUGUAGCAUUUGUAAUAAGUGAUGUAGAUAUGAAUAUUAGUCUGAAUCUUACUGAUGUAUUUAAAAAUCAAUAAAUUCUCUUAUAUAUGAUC
rnacentral:misc_RNA from 1 species